rnacentral:misc_RNA from 1 species
GUCCAACUCAAGUUGAUUGAUUUGUUGCCUGAUAGAAUAAUAAUUUACAUGAGUUAUGGAUUCUCAGGUUGAUUUCCAUUCCCUCCUAUCUCCCCCUUUGUAAUUCAAGAGAGACGUGGAUUAUCAUUUCUUACUACCUGUCAUCUUGGAACAAAUUAAUCAUUGUUCUUUCUUUAUCAAGUGGCAUGAUUUUUAUUUGUAAUACCCAUCACAGGAAUCCGUUAUUGUGAAUUGCAAAUGAUGAAAGUAAUAUCAAGCCAUGUCAGGGAGGAUGUGCAG